GUCAAGAUGCCAGAGUGGUUAAUGGGUUAGACUUGAAUAGCGGCAAGCUUGACAGGUGCAAAUGGUUUCGGCCGCGUAGGUUCAAAUCAUGCUCGUGAUG
rnacentral:tRNA from 1 species